GGAGGCCUCAAAAACAAGGUCUGAGCAAAUCCCCAAUAUGUCAUUACCUCAGCUGCUAUACCCAAAAGUAAUAGAGCAGAAGUUUAAAUAAAACCCAGUGCUCUAAAAGACUUUGGAGAAGCUUCUUGUUAUACAGAAAUUGAAUAGCUGUGUAGAUAAAGGACCUUUUGAUAUGAAGCUUAAUUUUCCUUGUCUCUGGCUUUAAGACCACAUUUCUUUGAACAAAGGAAGGCUACCAAACUGGUAACCCACUUNNNNNNNNNNNNACCAUCAGAAGGUUAGCACAGAUAGAGGAGAAUACCUACCUAACUGCUGGAGGCAUACCCCAGACAUACAUUAAACAAAGACCCUAUAAAACCUCUCUACUCUGCAAAUUAUUAGCUGUGUAACUUUGGUGAAAUUACUCAGCUUCUCUAAGACUCAGUUUCUUCAUUUCAAGCAUGAAGAUAAAGGUUAAGCCACCAUGGCGCUGGCAGGUCCCAAAGAGACAAGAGGAGGCCAUGGAAAGUACCAAGUGCACAGACCUCACAGGUAGGGCUAGACACAAGUCUUUACAAACAUGAGACACAGAUUUAUAGAUAAGUUCUACCAACUCAUGCACAAACUGUACUUAUUCACACCAACACCCCACACAAUAAAAUGCUCAGGUAUGCGUUCAUCCCCCCCACACAAGCCUGUCACAUCCAUAUUUGUGCAACAGGCUUUGCCUCCAUUUUUCUUUCCUGGUCAUACUCACCUUGUGCCAUGUUCUAGGGUGCUGCCCUGUCCCCUGUGCGUGAAGGUCCCUCUGACCAUGGAUGGUGGUAAAGCUAAACAAGCCCAGACUGCAUCCAAAGCUAACUCUUAUUGGGCAUCACAGAACUUCAGAGAGCUAGAAUCACAAGGCUCCUUAGAAAUAAUCCAAUCUUCUGCCUCUAAAAUCCUUUUUUUUUUUUUAAUUGUCACAAUCCUUUCCUCAAAGAAAAGCUCAUCCAGGGACUCUGGCAUUCUCGCAGAUAUAGACAACAUU
rnacentral:lncRNA from 1 species